UACAGAGGGUGCGAGCGUUAAUCGGAUUUACUGGGCGUAAAGCGUGCGUAGGCGGCUUUUUAAGUCGGAUGUGAAAUCCCCGAGCUUAACCUGGGAAUUGCAUUCGAUACUGGGAAGAUAGAGAAUGGGAGAGGAUGGUAGAAUUCCAGGUGUAGCGGUGAAAUGCGUAGAGAUCUGGAGGAAUACCGAUGGCGAAGGCAGCCAUCUGGCCUAAUACUGACGCUGAGGUACGAAAGCAUGGGGAGCAAACAGGAUUAGAUACCCUGGUAGUCCAUGCUGUAAACGAUGUCUACCAGCCGUUGGGGCCUUUGAGGCUUUAGUGGCGUAGCUAACGCGAUAAGUAGACCGCCUGGGGAGUACGGUCGCAAGACUAAA
rnacentral:rRNA from 1 species